UUCAAGAUUUUAUUCUAGAUGAUAAGAGAAAUGAAAUUAUAUAAGGAAGCGGGUUGGAAAGCCAAGCUGGGCUAAAGGAUUGGUGCUAAGAUGUGGAAGAGGAAUACUUUAUCAGUUAUAGUUUGCUCUAGAGCUAUUCUUAUUGUUUUCUUAACAUCUAAUUUUUUUAUAUGUAUAAAAUCAUGUAUGCAUUCAUUUAAAGCUUCGCAUUCUGCAAAAACAUGUGCUAAAAAUAACAGGCAUAUGGGAUAAAUAGGGUUAGGGGCAGACCAUGCCAUGCAACUUUAUAACAGGAGCGCUAAGAAAACAACAAACAUCUUUUUUUUUUUUUUUUUUUUUUUUUUUUUUUUUUAAGGCUCAGUCUCCACUAGCAGCUUGCCCUGGGUAGCGUUUGAACUUGGUGGCUUGCACUUUCUUCCUGGAAACAUAAGGUCAUUUGCUUGCAAGAGACCAGAUUAUCAAAAUGAAACAUCUGAUUCAGGAGGCUUCAUCUUUUUUUUUUUUUUAAUAUAGAAGGAAAUAUUGUUGCAACUUCCUUAUCUGUCUUCACAACUUCAUCAAAAAGUUUAAUGUUGGGAGAUGUGUAGCAGUUCUUGGAAUCACCACCCCAGCCCUUGCUUUCACGAAAGGAAGAUACCUUGUGGGAUUUCUUUCUUAGGGCGUUCAUGUAUUGCUAAGGCUUGCUUUCAUUGUGGAGAAAGUUUGCUCCUGAUUUCUUGGAAAUCACAUGCAGGAAAAAUGGUUUAUGAACCAAAGUGACCUCACCAUUGUUUCACUGAUACCAUUUCCCUGCUUACCAGUUGCGUAUGAGCUAAUUCGUGUCGCCAACACACGUGUGACAGCAGCACACAUAUGUACCUUUUGUUCUUUGAAAGACUUCAGGGAAUACACCACCCCUAGAAUCUUAACACUGUUUUGUUUUCCUUUCCGCCCACCGCCCCCACCCCCUGCCAUUUCCUCUGUCCUCUCUCCAUGUUUCUUUUCUUCUGUUCUCUACAGGCAAGGAAAAAUAUGCUUGAUUUGGUCAGGAUUAUAUUUAGCUGCACACAGAAACCCAAAAUAAAGUGGCUUAAACAAUAGAGCCGUUAAUUUUUCUCACAUAAAAAUAAUCUAGAAGUAAAUGACGCAAGAGUCCUGCUCUGCUCCAGUCACCAUGUUCAUACUCCAAACACAGGAAAAAGGAAGAGUAGACCUGUCAAAAGGCACAGGUCCCCUCCUUUUAUGGAGCUGAGCCUCAGAGAAUACUUAGUUACAUCUCACUGGCCAUAUCUAAUUGCUAAGGGUCUAAGAGAUACCCUCUUAUAGCCAAACACACUUCCUAGGGUUUUAUUAUUAAAGAAGGGAGAAUGGAUAUUGUGAAGCAAUCAGUAUUCUCUGCUACAGUAUAACUUCAAAGUAAUUCAUGUGUACUGGGCAUUUUUCAUAUGCCAGGAACUGUGUCACUUGAUUUCUACCAUCAAAGAUACACGACAGCAUGAGGGGCAAAGUUCGUCAGAAGAAUUCAUGGAAAGUCAGAGUAAGGAUUCAUGCCCAACCAUGGAAGGGUACACAGUCAAAAAUUACGUUUGGUUAACUUGCUCUCUUUAUAAUUGCUACUUGCUUCACAGUCGACCCCAGGGACAGGAAAACCACCUGGAAGCACAUUUCUCUUGUGUGGGGAGGGGCAAGAAGCAGUUAAAGAGUUCAGAGACUUUUUCGAGGAAAGGAAGCUGUGUUCUAAUUCUUGUUCUGUAAGAUUUGAAGUUAUGGGGAUCUCCCAGAUCAACCGGACUAGAUAUGGGGAAUAAGGCCCCUGAAAUAGAGUUACUGUAAAGGUAGAGGGUGAGCCAGCUCUGCCGAUGAGUCUCCGUCUCGCUGUCCCUCUCUCUCUCUCUUAGAGAGAGAAGUGAAGGGAUGGCAUGUCUGGGUCUGGGAGGUCGGGUCCGGGGACUGGCCUUGAGCCAGUAUCCAGAGGUCAACUUGUGCUUAUGAAGCAUUGACACAUAUCUGCAAGAGCAGGUUGCUUCUAGAUGUAAUAGCUGGGGUGAAGAACUUUCAGGAAAUAAUCUGGAGAUUUCUUUACCCUGUGGUCUCACAGCCGGGGUAGAGAAUCUAGCCAGUGAGACUAUGCCUUCUACCCAGCUCUCCGGCGUGGUUCAUCAGGGCAGAGGCCCUUUCUUUUACUUGCUUCUUUCUCCCACAUCCCUGAUUUCAUCUUUCACCAGUCCCAAUGACUUUCCUGGGUUGUUUUGCCUUUAUAGUAGCCAACACAACCCGAUAGCAUUGUUCCACUGAAGCGCAAACCUCCAUGGAUUCCCAUUUGUAAGGUAACUGGCACCUGUCCAUUCUCCUGACUCUAGGGCAAGGAAGAGGAAACAGGUUUCUCUGAAGAGCUUUGGCUUGGACCACCCUACCUUGAAGGGAGCAUGGGGAAUAGAGAAGCCACACCCAAAGAGUCAUUAUUGCUGGAGAAAGAUGCCACUGCAUUAGUUUCCUAUUGCUGCUAUAACAAAGCGUAACAAACGUAGUGCCUUAAGACAGCACCAAUAUAUUACCUUACAGUUCUGGAGGUCAGAAGGUGGACAUGGGGUUUUAGGGGCUAAACUCAAGGUGUUGGCAGAGUUGUGUUCCUUCUGGAGGCUGUAGUGGAGAAUUCAUUUCCCUGCUUUUCUAGAAGCUGCCUGCAUUCUUUGGCUCGAGUCCCUUCCUCCAUCUUCAAAGUUCAUCUCUCUGAACUUAGCUUCUGUGGCCACAUCUGCCUUUCUGACUGCAACCCUUUCCCCAGUCUCAUGAUUACAUUGGGCCCACCUUGUUAAUACUGUACAGGACGUUCUUUCCAACUUAACGUGAUCCUUCGUCACAACCGCAAAGUUCCUUUUACCAUGUACGUUAACACUUUGGCCAGUUCUGGGACUUACUCCAUGGACAUCCUUGGAAAGUCAUCACUGAGUCUACUGUACCACCCUGUACAUAUGGCCACUAUGAAAACAUGACACCGUUUAGCUUCUGGGCUUUGGACACAGCUCACCAGAGCCGCAUCUGACUCAACCGGCAGACCGCUCUGCUGUUGUGAGUGCAGCGAGGGAGGUCCUAGUUAAACAGAAACAGACUCUUCCCCUGGGACACUCAGAAGCAGCCAAGUGAUGGACAGAAGUGCUAAAGCGCCAUGUUCCUUUACCCAAGAAAACUGUAGCCCGGAAGAUAUGCAGAAAAACUUCAGUUUGAGGGUGUGGACAUUUUACAACAACUCCAAGGCCAAAUAAGUGGACAAAGGGCGAUUGCGGCCUCCUCACAGAUAGAAUCCUCAGUGUGGAAAAUGGAGCAGAAGAUUCUGGAAUGGAAGGAGGGAAGUCAAACCAUGCUCAAAUCACGUUUGAGAACAUAAAAAGACACUGAAUAUCUCUAGAUGUUACUAGAAGACUACAAAUUAACUCUUCUCUCCAGCUUAUCUCUUACCUCAGGCUAAUGGACAGCAAAACCACCCUGCAGGCAAUAGUGAAUGAUGUGACAAGACCUCCAGUUGGACCAGAUGACCCAGACCAGUUUGAACUAAACCCCUGACUUGCACCUGCACAGAGGGGCCAUGGAGUAACCUCUGGAAUGACCAACAAUCACCUUUGCCUCAUUAUAAUACUAAGAUCUCCAUUCAAGGAGGGAACAGCAGCCUCAUUUACAUAACAUGUAUGUGUAGGCAUGUUCCUUUCAGGCCCAUGCAUGACCUUAUGCCCACCUCUGCAUAUGAUGACAAGACUUCCUCAUCUAAACAUUCAUCUUAACCCUAAACAAAAGAAACCCAAUCACCCUUGCUUGAAGAGUCAGGGCUUUGGAAGUUAUUCCUUGCCAUCUCCUGAUUUGCUGCAAAUAAAGUUUCCUUUGUGUGACAACUCACCUGGUAUAGCUUCUGUGAUUCACCAAAGGAGCAAAUUCAUGUUGUUUUGGU